GCCGAAGUGAUGGAAUGGUAGACAUGCACGACUCAAAAUCGUGUGAGGCAACUCAUGAGGGUUCAAGUCCCUCCUUCGGCA
rnacentral:tRNA from 1 species